GCUGCAAAAGAAGUAGGUAGUUUAACCUUCGGGGGGACGCUUACCACUUUGUGGUUCAUGACUGGGGUGAAGUCGUAACAAGGUAGCGCUAGGGGAACCUGGCGCUGGAUCACCUCCUUA
rnacentral:rRNA from 1 species